AGAAAAUUGUGAAUUUUGCGGUAUGUUUUCCCCCUGGACCUAAAAUAAUAAAACUUAUACAAGUUGCAGUAAUGAAGUUUGAGAAUUAUCUUCAGUUUUAAUUCUUUUUUCUCACUGCAGUACAGUUUUGUUUUCUGAUAAUAGUGACAUGAUUUGAGAGGUCAGCAGGAAGUUGUUUUAAAUCUUUUUUGUUUUCUCCUUGUUAGUGUGAACAUGAUUCUACUCUCCUUAAUCCUUUUGGGAGAAGAAGAAGGGAGCUGGCAGCACCCAGGGAAUUUCAAGGUGGCAUCAGGGAACUCUUUUUCACCAAAACAAAAGAAGGCAUAAAAAUAUCCUGCCUGUAAGAAGAUGAUGAAUUUGUUACUUUUCCUCAGUAUGAGAUGGUGAAACUGAGGCCCAACCAGCUUAAGUGACUUGCCUUGCUUCACACAGGCAAUGAGAUUCAGAGUUAGAAGAGGAACCCAGAUACUCUAAUGAUGAGAAAACCGAAGCUAAGUGAGACAACGUAUACAAAAGUACUUUGAAAGGUAGAUAUGUUAAGCAAAAGAAAGUAUUGCCCACCUUCAUCAUCACUCACGAGGUAAGAUUUUUAAAGGUCAGUAAAAGUAAAUACUUACAAAAGUGUUGCUUCACAAUAUAUAUUUCACUUGGUUUAAUUUUCAGAGCUGACAGUAUAAAUUGGAGGAUUGUCCUUAA